ACAUGAAAAAGAAUUAAGCAUCUACCCUGUUUAAAUCAUUGUUACUUUGGGUCUGCAUGACUCACAGCAAAACCUGACCCUAAUGAUAUACUCAUACAAUGAGAAGUCCCUGAAGUAGAGUGGGCUUCAGGAACAGUGUAGUCUAGUGGCUCUGGCUCCAUUCCUCUGUGAUGCUCUUGGCCUCUGCUCUCCUCCAUGAGAGAGACUCAUCUCGGGCUGGUAAUGUUAUAGGUGUAGUGGUUCUGGAGCUCACGUCUGCACAUGACAAAAGUCUAAAGGGAGAGGGGAAAAGUAGCUUCCAGAAGUUUUCCCAGAAGAGAGAAAAAGAACAUAACAAGAAGUCCCCAACAAACCUCUCCUCUUGUAUUUGGGCCUGAAUUGAAUCUUGAAACAAUCAUUGGCAAGUACACAGGAUAUUCCUUAGACCAAAUAGAGCCACCCUUAGAACGGCGGGUGAGGCAAGCUUCCUCUCAGCCAGGCACACGAGCUCGUGGGAGAGCGCUGGAGAGCUGACCAAAACUGAAAUUGUGUUAGGAAGGAGGAAAGGUAAUAUUCUGGCUACUUAUUAGCAUAGCAAGCCACCCAAAACUUGAUGGCCUAAAAACAACCUUAAUAACAAUUUUAUUUAGCUUUCAAGUCUGCAAUCUGGGCAGGACUCAGCAGGGACAACUCAUCUGGCUCCACAUGGCGUCAGCUGGAGGACGGGGGCUCCUUGAAGAUCGGUGGGGAGCACCUCGGCAUCGCUCUGUCUCUCUGUGGUCUCCCAUGCAAUGGCUUCACGGUUGCUGGAUCCUUACAUAGCAGCUCAAGCUCAAAAGGCACAUGUCCCAAGACAGAGAGAGUCAGGAGAAUACAGUGUAGCCUUAUCUAACCUAGCCCCAUUCUAUCGCAUUCUAUGUGUACAGGAAGUCACAGAGGCUCACCCAGGAUCGAGGAGAAGAAACAUCAGUUCCACAUCUUUAUGGUUCCGUGGCAAGGUUCCGGAAGAAUAUAUAAGACUGGAAUUAUUAUGGCAACUCAUGUUGGAAAAUGCAAUCUGCUGCAAGGUGAAUGGGAGGUUGAUGGUCACCAAUAACGUCCACCACCAGGAGGUGAAGCAGGAAGCCCUCUGUGUUGGGAGAAGAAAAGCGGACUCUUACGUCUGUAUCAUGCUAAACUCCCAACUACAUAGAAAUAAUUGGAUGACUUUUAUUUUUAAAUUUCUAAUUUGGAUGUGCGAGACUUCCAGGAGAAACGCUCUGUGGUCUGGCACCCCUAUUUGGAAGAGUCGUCUUUGUCAUUAGACACGGACGAAUUUGCGCAUGAAUAACCCAGGCUAGGAGUUUGUGCAUCAAAUCUACUUUUCUCCAAAUGGACCUCCGCCUCUGACAAAGCAGCAGAAACAUCCUCACCUUUGAUGUAUGACUUUCACCAAGUCCUCAGUACACUUUCCGAUUAUUAACUGAGGUUAAUAAGGUGUCAUGCAAUUAAUUCAUUAUUGAUUAUUAAUUAAUUUUAUCAUUAAUUAAUUUUAGUAGCAGAAGCACAUGGGAGCAUUCCUACCAUGGAUUCUACUCUCAUUCAUCAGUCCAAUCCUAUCAAGAGUGAAGAAAUGCUUCCUAGGGACACAUCAGCCACCAGUCCAUGGUGAAUUUUCCACGGUUGCUCCAGCGAUGAUCACAUCAGCACUGAGGGAAUCAGAGAUGAAGCGUCCGAGCCACGGGUCCUAACUUCUACUUGGUUGAUGUGGAGACUUAUGGAAACAGAGAAUGUCAGAGUGUGAGCCUAAAUUUCAGCUUAGGGAUGAGGCAAAAAUCAAGUCCAUUCAGUCAACAGAUCGCAACGAUCCUUGAGCCUGGCUGGACCUAGUUCCUAAAUGGACGUGGACAAUUCUUGACUCACCAGGGCCAGGUAUGAGCACGGACCAGACUUUGUCUACUACAGACUUGUCGGCUCUGCGUCCUGUGACGAUCAGACUCAGACAUCACCCCGCGGUGUCCAUCUCUUGCAGACACUGAUUCUGACUGUCUGACCCCCAGCUCCGCCUGCCCCAUCACAGCAGGAGUCGAGCUCCAUGGACAUUUCUGUUUGGAAAUUCUUCUCUCUUCUAGGCAGCCACCCUGUCUCCUCUUCCACCUUGGGAUUGCCAGUAUCUAGAAAGUUCUGCUCCUCGGGGCAGUUGCUCUUCCUCUCCUCUGCUCUGCCAUCUAUCCCGGGUUCAUGCCUACGGGUGUUUCCCCAACAUGGGUAUCAUUCUAUCCCUCACCGAGCCCCAGUUCUUUCAUCUUGUGUUUUUUGCUACAU
rnacentral:lncRNA from 1 species